AGGUGGUGCAAUGGGUUAGUGUGUCUGGCUGUUAACCAGAAGGAUGUUGGACCAAGCCCACCCAGGGAUG